AGAGUUUGAUCAUGGCUCAGGAUGAACGCUAGCGGCAGGCUUAACACAUGCAAGUCGAGGGGUAUAGGUUUUCGGACCUAGAGACCGGCGCACGGGUGCGUAACGCGUAUGCAUCUACCUUUUACAGAGGGAUAGCCCAGAGAAAUUUGGAUUAAUACCUCAUAGUAUAGUAUAACCGCAUGGUUGAACUAUUAAAGUCACAACGGUAAAAGAUGAGCAUGCGUCCCAUUAGCUUGUUGGUAAGGUAACGGCUUACCAAGGCAACGAUGGGUAGGGGUCCUGAGAGGGAGAUCCCCCACACUGGUACUGAGACACGGACCAGACUCCUACGGGAGGCAGCAGUGAGGAAUAUUGGUCAAUGGGCGCAAGCCUGAACCAGCCAUGCCGCGUGCAGGAUGAAGCAUCUAUGGUGUGUAAACUGCUUUUGUACGAGAAGAAACACUCCUUCGUGAAGGAGCUUGACGGUAUCGUAAGAAUAAGGACCGGCUAACUCCGUGCCAGCAGCCGCGGUAAUACGGAGGGUCCAAGCGUUAUCCGGAAUCAUUGGGUUUAAAGGGUCCGUAGGCGGUUUUGUAAGUCAGUGGUGAAAGCCCAUCGCUCAACGGUGGAACGGCCAUUGAUACUGCAAGACUUGAAUUAUUGGGAAGUAACUAGAAUAUGUAGUGUAGCGGUGAAAUGCUUAGAGAUUACAUGGAAUACCAAUUGCGAAGGCAGGUUACUACCAAUAUAUUGACGCUGAUGGACGAAAGCGUGGGGAGCGAACAGGAUUAGAUACCCUAGUAGUCC
rnacentral:rRNA from 1 species